rnacentral:tRNA from 1 species
GUGUGAGAACCUGUGUAGUGGUUUGAGCAUUGGAUUAGGACUCUGGAGUCCAGGGUUCAAAUCCCUGCUCAGCCA